UCAGGAUGAACGCUAGCGGCAGGCUUAACACAUGCAAGUCGAGGGGCAACGCGAGUAGCAAUACUUGGCGGCGACCGGCGCAAGGGUGCGUAACGCGUGAGCAACAUGCCCGUAUCAGGGGGAUAAUCCAGGGAAACUUGGUCUAAUACCCCAUAGUAAUUUUGUAAGGCAUCUUAUAAGAUUUAAAGCUUUGGUGGAUACGGAUUGGCUCGCGUGACAUUAGCUGGAUGGUAAGGUAACGGCUUACCAUGGCUAUGAUGUCUAGGGGUUCUGAGAGGAAGGUCCCCCACACUGGAACUGAGACACGGUCCAGACUCCUACGGGAGGCAGCAGUGAGGAAUAUUGGACAAUGGAUGGAAAUCUGAUCCAGCCAUGCCGCGUGAAGGAAGAAGGUCCUAUGGAUUGUAAACUUCUUUUGUAUGGGAGCAAUAAGGCCUACGUGUAGGUUGAUGAGAGUACCAUACGAAUAAGCACCGGCUAACUCCGUGCCAGCCGCAGC
rnacentral:rRNA from 1 species